rnacentral:lncRNA from 1 species
GUUCUCGCAAUUCCCCGGUCAACCAACUUGAGAACGCCUAACGACUUCUGCAACUAUGGUCGCAAGUGACUCGUCUCGGUUACAUGCUAUGCCCACCAUAUACACGUGGCAUGUCUAUCUAGGUUUGCUAUACCCACAACUUGGUUAUCCCAAUCAAAUGAUGUUGAACUUUUGAGCCAACAGUUAUAAUACGUGGCCACCGAUAGAGAAGAGGUCAAAUAGAUAUUCCUUUUCAAGAAAUCCAAAUGUGGAGACUGGAUAAUUGUUCAUGGAAGCUUUCCCUCCAAGAACGACGAGAAGAAUGCAAGCCCACGAGCCGGUUGGUAGCUUGGGACGAAGUGUCCAGCUCCUCUUAUCGUCACAAAUGUUAAGUUCUGGUAUCCCACAACAUACCCACCAACCUAAAUAGCCCAAACAAACAAAAUUCCAUGAACUGUUAAGUUAAGUUGAGUUAAGCCUGACAAAACAGUCGGGUCGGGUUAAAACAGAAUGUUUUAGAAAAAAAGUAAUAUUGGAUAAAUAAAAGAUGAAGAAUUGGCUAAGAACGCGUUCUACCUCGCCUUGAUACAUCCAUGGUGCCGUUGCUUGAUGAUGAACAUAAGGGAGCAUAGAU